rnacentral:rRNA from 1 species
UACGGGGGGGGGCAAGCGUUGUUCGGAAUUACUGGGCGUAAAGGGCUCGUAGGUGGCCAACUAAGUCGGACGUGAAAUCCCUCAGCUUAACUGGGGAACUGCGUCCGAUACUGGAUGGCUUGAGUUUGGGAGAGGGAUGCGGAAUUCCAGGUGUAGCGGUGAAAUGCGUAGAUAUCUGGAGGAACACCGGUGGCGAAGGCGGCAUCCUGGACCAACACUGACACUGAAAAGCGAAAGCCAGGGGAGCAAACGGG